UACGUAGGGUGCGAGCGUUGUCCGGAAUUAUUGGGCGUAAAGAGCUUGUAGGCGGUUUGUCGCGUCUGCCGUGAAAAUCCGAGGCUCAACCUCGGACUUGCGGUGGGUACGGGCAGACUAGAGUGUGGUAGGGGAGACUGGAAUUCCUGGUGUAGCGGUGAAAUGCGCAGAUAUCAGGAGGAACACCGGUGGCGAAGGCGGCUUGCUGGGCCAGUUCUGACGCUGAGGAGCGAAAGCGUGGGGAGCGAACAGG
rnacentral:rRNA from 1 species